rnacentral:rRNA from 1 species
AGUGAACGCUGGCGGUAGGCCUAACACAUGCAAGUCGAACGGCAGCACAGUAAGAGCUUGCUCUUACGGGUGGCGAGUGGCGGACGGGUGAGGAAUACAUCGGAAUCUACUUUUUCGUGGGGGAUAACGUAGGGAAACUUACGCUAAUACCGCAUACGACCUACGGGUGAAAGCAGGGGAUCUUCGGACCUUGCGCGAUUGAAUGAGCCGAUGUCGGAUUAGCUAGUUGGCGGGGUAAAGGCCCACCAAGGCGACGAUCCGUAGCUGGUCUGAGAGGAUGAUCAGCCACAUUGGAACUGAGACACGGUCCAGACUCCUACGGUAGGCAACAGUGGGGAAUAUUGGGCAAUGGAGGCAAGACUGAUCCAGCCAUACCGGGUGGGUGAAGAAGGCCUUCGGGUUGGAAAGCCCUUUUGUUGGGAAAGAAAAGCAGCAGGUUAAUACCCCGCUGUUCUGACGGUACCCAAAGAAUAAGCACCGGCUAACUUCGUG